rnacentral:rRNA from 1 species
GGUUAAGCGACUAAGCGUACACGGUGGAUGCCCUGGCAGUCAGAGGCGAUGAAGGACGUGCUAAUCUGCGAUAAGCGUCGGUAAGGUGAUAUGAACCGUUAUAACCGGCGAUUUCCGAAUGGGGAAACCCAGUGUGAUUCGUCACACUAUCAUUAACUGAAUCCAUAGGUUAAUGAGGCGAACCGGGGGAACUGAAACAUCUAAGUACCCCGAGGAAAAGAAAUCAACCGAGAUUCCCCCAGUAGCGGCGAGCGAACGGGGAGCAGCCCAGAGCCUGAAUCAGUGUGUGUGUUAGUGGAAGCGUCUGGAAAGGCGUGCGAUACAGGGUGACAGCCCCGUACACAAAAAUGCACAUACUGUGAGCUCGAUGAGUAGGGCGGGACACGUGGUAUCCUGUCUGAAUAUGGGGGGACCAUCCUCCAAGGCUAAAUACUCCUGACUGACCGAUAGUGAACCAGUACCGUGAGGGAAAGGCGAAAAGAA